rnacentral:rRNA from 1 species
AGAGUUUGAUCAUGGCUCAGAUUGAACGCUGGCGGCAUGCCUUACACAUGCAAGUCGAACGGUAACGCGGGGGCAACCCUGGCGACGAGUGGCGAACGGGUGAGUAAUACAUCGGAACAUAUCCAGUAGCGGGGGAUAACCUAUCGAAAGAUGGACUAAUACCGCAUACGAUCUACGGAUGAAAGCAGGGACCGCAAGGCCUUGCACUAUUGGAGUGGCCGAUGUCGGAUUAGCUAGUUGGUGGGGUAAAAGCUUACCAAGGCGACGAUCCGUAGCUGGUCUGAGAGGACGAUCAGCCACACUGGAACUGAGACACGGUCCAGACUCCUACGGGAGGCAGCAGUGGGGAAUUUUGGACAAUGGGCGCAAGCCUGAUCCAGCCAUGCCGCGUGAGUGAAGAAGGCCUUCGGGUUGUAAAGCUCUUUCGGUGAAGACGAAACGGUUCAUGCUAAUAACGUGAACUAAUGACGGUACUCACAGAAGAAGCACCGGCUAACUACGUGCCAGCAGCCGCGGUAAUACGUAGGGUGCAGGCGUUAAUCGGAAUUACUGGGCGUAAAGCGUGCGCAGGCGGUUUGCUAAGACAGGUAUGAAAUCCCCGGGCUUAACCUGGGAAUUGCGCUUGUAACUGGCAAGCUAGAGUGUGGCAGAGGGGGGUGGAAUUCCACGUGUAGCAGUGAAAUGCGUAGAUAUGUGGAGGAACACCGAUGGCGAAGGCAGCCCCCUGGGUUAACACUGACGCUCAUGCACGAAAGCGUGGGGAGCAAACAGGAUUAGAUACCCUGGUAGUCCACGCCCUAAACUAUGUCAACUAGUUGUCGGGGAAGAAAUUCCUUGGUAACGAAGCUAACGCGUGAAGUUGACCGCCUGGGGAGUACGGCCGCAAGGUUAAAACUCAAAGGAAUUGACGGGGACCCGCACAAGCGGUGGAUUAUGUGGAUUAAUUCGAUGCAACGCGAAAAACCUUACCUACCCUUGACAUGCUAGGAAGCCCGCAGAGAUGUGGGUGUGCCCGAAAGGGAACCUAGACACAGGUGCUGCAUGGCUGUCGUCAGCUCGUGUCGUGAGAUGUUGGGUUAAGUCCCGCAACGAGCGCAACCCUUGCCAUUAGUUGCUACAUUCAGUUGGGCACUCUAAUGGGACCGCCGGUGACAAACCGGAGGAAGGUGGGGAUGACGUCAAGUCCUCAUGGCCCUUAUGGGUAGGGCUUCACACGUAAUACAAUGGUCGGUACAGAGGGCUGCCAACCCGCAAGGGGGAGCUAAUCCCAGAAAGCCGAUCGUAGUCCGGAUUGUAGUCUGCAACUCGACUGCAUGAAGCCGGAAUCGCUAGUAAUCGCGGAUCAGCAUGUCGCGGUGAAUACGUUCCCGGGUCUUGUACACACCGCCCGUCACACCAUGGGAGUGGGUUCCACCAGAAGUAGUUAGCCUAACCGCAAGGAGGGCGAUUACCACGGUGAGAUUCAUGACUGGGGUGAAGUCGUAACAAGGUA